GCAACAAUAAUUGCACACUGAGGCAUUAAUCCACUAUAUCGGCAUUUUAUAUUCAUGAACUUCUCAGUUCCAAUAUCAGAACCAAAGCCUGCUUCUGUGACCACAAACCCACCAGGCCCUACCAAUUUUAGUGCAAUCUUAUCAGCAACAAUGGAAGAAUUGCCAUGUGCAAUGUUUGCAAAAGGACCAGCAUGAACAAGAACAGGUGUUCCUUCAAGGGUCUGCAUCAAUGUAGGAUUUAUGGCAUCCUUCAUUAGCACAGUCAAAGCACCUCCAACACCAAGAUCAUCAGCUGUUAUAGGGUCACCAGCUUUGCUAUUCCCAAUUACCAUUUUUCCAAGCCUCUCUCUCAUAUCAGCAAGAGAUGUCGUGAGGGCUAAACCUGCCAUUAUCUCACUAGCAACAGAAAUAUCAAAUCCUGUUUCUCUCAACUUCCCCUUUUCUUCAGGACCUUGGCCAAUGGUAAUCUUCCUCAAGAACCGGUCAUUCACAUCCAUCACUCUCCUCCAUGUAAUUGAAUCUGGAUCGAUAUCAAGCCUAGCAAAUUUCUGGACUUCUUGUGGGGUAAGGUCCUCUGGUUUUGUCUUGGUGAUACCUAGCUUCUUCAGACGCCUAAACAUUAUGUCACUAAAGCUUCUUUUUCCUUCUUUACUAGGUGGGCAUAACCGAUUGAAAAGAGCCUUAUCUGAUUGAGUAGACUCAUGGAAAAUCCUGGUAUCAAUAGCAGCAGCUAGGAGAUUGUUUGCAGCUGUUAUAGCAUGAAUAUCCCCCGUAAGGUGAAGAUUGAAUUCAUCCAUUGGAAUCACUUGACUGUAACCACCACCUGCUGCGCCCCCUUUAAUUCCAAAAGUGGGUCCUUGUGAUGGUUGACGAAGGCAGGUGACAACCUUCUUGUCAAGAAAUGCACCCAAAGCUUGACAAAGCCCAACCGUCGUAGUGGACUUGCCUUCCCCAAGUGGUGUAGGCGUAAUCCCUCCAACAACCACGUAGUACCCAUCAGCUGAUCCUUCAAGCUCAUCAAGAACAGACAAUAAUACCUUGGCCUUAUAUUUGCCAUAAAGAUCAUAAUGGUUGGGGCUAAGAUUGAGGUCCUUAGCAAUCUC
rnacentral:misc_RNA from 1 species